rnacentral:rRNA from 1 species
UACGUAGGGUGCGAGCGUUAAUCGGAAUUACUGGGCGUAAAGCGUGCGCAGGCGGUUAUGUAAGACAGAUGUGAAAUCCCCGGGCUAACCUGGGAACUGCAUUUGUGACUGCAUCGCUGGAGUGCGGCAGAGGGGGAUGGAAUUCCGCGUGUAGCAGUGAAAUGCGUAGAUAUGCGGAGGAACACCGAUGGCGAAGGCAAUCCCCUGGGCCUGCACUGACGCUCAUGCACGAAAGCGUGGGGAGCAAACAGG